AGAGUUUGAUCAUGGCUCAGAAUCAACGCUGGCGGCGCGCUUAACACAUGCAAGUCGCACGAGAAAGUCCGCAAGGAUGAGUAAAGUGGCGUACGGGUGAGUAACACGUGGAUCAUCUACCUUUUAGUGGGGAAUACCCCCGGGAAACUGGGGACAAUACCGCAUAAGCUCGUAAGAGGAAAGCAGCAAUGCGCUGAAAGAGGAGUCCGCGGCUGAUUAGCUAGUUGGUGAGGUAACGGCCCACCAAGGCGAAGAUCGGUAGCCGGCCUGAGAGGGCACACGGCCACACUGGCACUGAAACACGGGCCAGACUCCUACGGGAGGCAGCAGUGGGGAAUCUUGCACAAUGGAGGAAACUCUGAUGCAGCGACGCCGCGUGAGUGAUGAAGCCCCUCGGGGUGUAAAGCUCUUUCGACGGGAAAGAUAAUGACGGUACCCGAAGAAGAAGCUGCGGCUAACUACGUGCCAGCAGCCGCGGUAAUACGUAGGCAGCAAGCGUUGUUCGGAAUUACUGGGCGUAAAGAGUGUGUAGGCGGUGCUCUAAGUCUGUCGUGAAAUCUCCCGGCUUAACUGGGAGGGUGCGGCGGAAACUAGUGUGCUAGAGGGUGGGAGAGGUAAGCGGAAUUCCUGGUGUAGCGGUGAAAUGCGUAGAUAUCAGGAGGAACACCUGGUGUAGACAGCUUACUGGACCACUUCUGACGCUGAGACACGAAAGCGUGGGUAGCAAACAGGAUUAGAUACCCUAGUAGUCC
rnacentral:rRNA from 1 species